GUAACCCAGGAAGGAGAGAGGGAUCUGCUCACAGACACUGACUAAGCAUGCAUGAGAAGGAGGCCAGAACAGCUGAGGAGCAUUCUGGGGUCUCCUGCCAGGUGACCAGUGACCACAGCCUGGCCUUCCCUUCCCUUGACUGCCAUUCUUGGACCUUCCCGAAACCCUGCAAGGACUGGGAACUCUUACGGUGGCCCUGCCCAGAUCUACCCCAGAGCCACACUCACCAGGUGUCCUGUGUCUCUGACUGGCCUCUGCUGGCCUCAGGUGAAGAGAACCUUCUACCAGAACGUAUCCUCUCCAGCGGCGUUCUUCCAGCCCUCUACGGUGUGCACAAUGGGAACUUCCAGCUGCUGAAAGGCCUUGAGGCACAUGCUGUUGGGAGUUGGCUCUGUCCUGGGCAAGAUGUCACCAUCUGUACCUUGCUUGAGGCUGCUGUGGGCACCAGGCUCUGUGCUAGUGGAGUGCAGGUACGCCGCCUAUGUGCCUGUGGAGAACAGCGGUUCCUGUAG
rnacentral:lncRNA from 1 species